AUUGAACGCUGGCGGCAGGCCUAACACAUGCAAGUCGAGCGGAUGAAGGGAGCUUGCUCCUGGAUUCAGCGGCGGACGGGUGAGUAAUGCCUAGGAAUCUGCCUGGUAGUGGGGGAUAACGUCCGGAAACGGGCGCUAAUACCGCAUACGUCCUGAGGGAGAAAGUGGGGGAUCUUCGGACCUCACGCUAUCAGAUGAGCCUAGGUCGGAUUAGCUAGUUGGUGGGGUAAAGGCCUACCAAGGCGACGAUCAGUAACUGGUCUGAGAGGAUGAUCAGUCACACUGGAACUGAGACACGGUCCAGACUCCUACGGGAGGCAGCAGUGGGGAAUAUUGGACAAAGGGCGAAAGCCUGAUCCAGCCAUGCCGCGUGUGUGAAGAAGGUCUUCGGAUUGUAAAGCACUUUAAGUUGGGAGGAAGGGCAGUAAGUUAAUACCUUGCUGUUUUGACGUUACCAACAGAAUAAGCACCGGCUAACUUCGUG
rnacentral:rRNA from 1 species